GACGAAGGAUGCAAGCGUUAUCCGGAUUCAUUGGGUUUAAAGGGUGCGUAGGCGGCCCGGUAAGUCAGUGGUGAAAUCUCCUUGCUUAACAAGGAAACUGCCAUUGAUACUGCUGGGCUUGAGUACAGAUGCUGUGGGCGGAAUAUGACAUGUAGUGGUGAAAUACAUAGAGAUGUCAUAGAACACCGAUUGCGAAGGCAGCUCACAAAACUGUAACUGACGCUGAGGCACGAAAGUGCGGGGAUCAAACAGG
rnacentral:rRNA from 2 species